rnacentral:rRNA from 1 species
CCUACGGGUGGCUGCAGUGGGGAAUAUUGGACAAUGGGCGAAAGCCUGAUCCAGCCAUGCCGCGUGUGUGAAGAAGGCCUUCGGGUUGUAAAGCACUUUCAGUGGGGAAGAAAGCCUUGGGGCUAAUACCCUCGAGGAAGGACAUCACCCACAGAAGAAGCACCGGCUAACUCCGUGCCAGCAGCCGCGGUAAUACGGAGGGUGCGAGCGUUAAUCGGAAUUACUGGGCGUAAAGCGCGCGUAGGCGGUCUGAUAAGCCGGUUGUGAAAGCCCCGGGCUCAACCUGGGAACGGCAUCCGGAACUGUCAGGCUAGAGUGCAGGAGAGGAAGGCAGAAUUCCCGGUGUAGCGGUGAAAUGCGUAGAGAUCGGGAGGAAUACCAGUGGCGAAGGCGGCCUUCUGGACUGACACUGACGCUGAGGUGCGAAAGCGUGGGUAGCAAACAGGAUUAGAUACCCCAGUAGU